rnacentral:rRNA from 1 species
CCUACGGGUGGCAGCAGUGAGGAAUAUUGGUCAAUGGGCGCGAGCCUGAACCAGCCAAGCCGCGUGAAGGAUGACUGCCCUACGGGUUGUAAACUUCUUUUAUCAAGGAAUAAAGUGCGGCACGUGUGCCUUUCUGUAUGUACCCUAUGAAUAAGGAUCGGCUAACUCCGUGCCAGCAGCCGCGGUAAUACGGAGGAUCCGAGCGUUAUCCGGAUUUAUUGGGUUUAAAGGGAGCGUAGGUGGGUUGUUAAGUCAGGUGUGAAAGUUUGCGGCUCAACCGUACAAGUGCAAUUGAUACUGGCAGUCUUGAGUGCAGUUGAGGUAGGCGGAAUGCGUGGUGUAGCGGUGAAAUGCUUAGAUAUCGCGAAGAACUCCGAUUGCGAAGGCAGCGUACUAAGCUGCCACUGACAUUGAUGCACGAAAGUGUGGGUAUCGAACAGGAUUAGAUACCCGGGUAGUC